rnacentral:rRNA from 1 species
CAACUUUCAGCAGUGGAUGUCUAGGCUCGCACAUCGAUGAAGAACGCUGCGAACUGCGAUACGUAAUGCGAAUUGCAGGAUUCAGUGAGUCAUCGAAUAUUUUGAACGCAUAUUGCACUUCCGGGUUAGUCCUGGAAGUAUGCCUGUAUCAGUGUCCGUAC